rnacentral:rRNA from 1 species
CGGCUGCCUAUAAUGCAGUCGAACGAGCUUCCGUUGAAUGACGUGCUUGCACUGAUUUCAACAAUGAAGCGAGUGGCGAACUGGUGAGUAACACGUGGGAAAUCUGCCCAGAAGCAGGGGAUAACACUUGGAAACAGGUGCUAAUACCGUAUAACAACAAAAUCCGCAUGGAUUUUGUUUGAAAGGUGGCUUCGGCUAUCACUUCUGGAUGAUCCCGCGGCGUAUUAGUUAGUUGGUGAGGUAAAGGCCCACCAAGACGAUGAUACGUAGCCGACCUGAGAGGGUAAUCGGCCACAUUGGGACUGAGACACGGCCCAAACUCCUACGGGAGGCAGCAGUAGGGAAUCUUCCACAAUGGACGAAAGUCUGAUGGAGCAAUGCCGCGUGAGUGAAGAAGGGUUUCGGCUCGUAAAACUCUGUUGUUAAAGAAGAACACCUUUGAGAGUAACUGUUCAAGGGUUGACGGUAUUUAACCAGAAAGCCACGGCUAACUACGUGCCAGCAGCCGCGGUAAUACGUAGGUGGCAAGCGUUGUCCGGAUUUAUUGGGCGUAAAGCGAGCGCAGGCGGUUUUUUAAGUCUGAUGUGAAAGCCUUCGGCUUAACCGGAGAAGUGCAUCGGAAACUGGGAGACUUGAGUGCAGAAGAGGACAGUGGAACUCCAUGUGUAGCGGUGGAAUGCGUAGAUAUAUGGAAGAACACCAGUGGCGAAGGCGGCUGUCUAGUCUGUAACUGACGCUGAGGCUCGAAAGCAUGGGUAGCGAACAGGAUUAGAUACCCUGGUAGUCCAUGCCGUAAACGAUGAGUGCUAAGUGUUGGAGGGUUUCCGCCCUUCAGUGCUGCAGCUAACGCAUUAAGCACUCCGCCUGGGGAGUACGACGUAUCAAAGUU